GUUAAACAAAUUGAAUUCACAACUUAUGAAAUCAUAACUGAAGGUAAUCAAAUCAUAGUGCAAGCAUGGACAUGGUUUCGAAUUCCCCUCUAGCUAAGGGGGGUUUAGUUCCUCAUACUUACAAAGCAAAGAUAAACAAAUUUAGACAUUGAAAACAAAAGAAAGAAAACACCUAAAAAUGCUUCAACAAUCCAACUUGAAUGGCAAGCACGUCCAAGGGUCCUCCUUCUUCUCUUUGUUGUGGCACAAGGUGUGGUUUGAUGGAUGAGUGGUAAAUUAUGGUGGUGGAUGGAUAUAGGUGAGUUAUGGUGAAGGGUGGAUUGGUGGAUUAUGUUCUCUCUGGUUUUUUUCCCCCUUGUUAUGGUGAAGGGUGGAUGUAUUUAUAGGCUAGGGAGAGGACUACCAUCUAAUUAAGGUGGUAGUGAUGAGUGUUGUGGUAAUGAGUGGAUGUAAUGGGUGUGGUGGAUGGAUGUUUGGUAAUGAGUGGAUGUAAUGGGUGUGGUGGAUGAAUGUUUGGUAAUGAGUGGAUGUAAUGGGUGUAGUGGUUGGGUGUUUGGUAAUGAGUGGAUGUAAUGGGUGUGAUGGAUGAGUGUUGUGGUAAUGAGUGGAUGUAAUGGGUGUUGUGGGUGAAAGUUUGGUAUGAGUGGAUGUAAUGGGUGUAGUGGAUGAAUGUUUGUAGUUGUAGAUCAACACACUUGCACACACACAUGCUGAUUUCUAGCCUUCUAAUCUUCAAAAACGUCCAUCCUCAUGUCUCCAUGCUUGCAUUAUCCAAUCUUGGCUCAAAAAUGCUCAAAAAUGCUCCAAAAUGCACUUUCUUGCCAACUUUGUUAUUAUGACCUACAAACACACGAAAAUAGCUUAAAAUACAUAAUUAACUAAGAAAUAACAACACAAAUGCACAAGAACAAGCUAACUAAGUCGCAUGAAUAUGCUCCUAUCAAAUUCCCCCGCACUUAGCUUUUGCUAGUCUUUGAGUAAAACAAAAGAAACAAAACCAAACAAAACAAACAAAACCAACAAAACACAACCUAACCUUCCAACAUUUGCCUCAGGGAUUUUCAAUGAAACAUGACAUGCCAAAGAUCACCACUUACAUAGAUUUAAGUAUUCCUAACCCUCGAGCAUACUUAAUCAUAGUCACCAUUCACUAGCUCACAUUUAAUCAAUUAAAAUAGCAUUUUGAAUAUAGUAACAUGCCUUAGAGAAUUUCCUCAAUUCCUUACUAGAUACACUCUUAUUUUCACACAAGAAAUUCUUACUACACUCCCUAUACUAGGUAUAUGUGAGAAGAUUGAUGUAAACAUGAAAACUAGUAUUCACAUAUGUUUUUCAACAAAGAAGCAAUUUUUGGAAUUAUUAAUUCAUGUAAUAUAUUAUCUCAUGAAUGGAAUGCUACUACUUAGAUGCGAGAACCAGUGACACCAUAUGCUCAUAUCAAUUUCAAACUCCACAAAUUGAAACACACAACACUCAAGAUUGAAGUCAAGGGUUGUAACAAGGCUUGGGGGUAAUGGCUAACAAAGAAAGGAUAGGAAUAAGAAACAUUCUUAAAGCGAUAGCAAGCAAAGUAAUGGAAUCAACACUUGGAAUUCACUUUAGAAUGCAAAAAUCAACUUUUAAACACAAAGGGAAGAUUCAUGCAACACUUAGGGUCGAAUUCAAUGCUUUGGAUCAUUUCUUCAACAAACAACACUUUAGAGCUCUUUCUCAUAAAUUUUUCAACUCUUUUCACAACUUUUCUUCUUUUCAUUCUAUUUUCCACGAAUUUUUCUUUUUCUUUUCCUUUUCUACCUGUGCCUUAUGAAGGACUUUGGCACAUACGCACACACACAAGAAUCACUUCCCCCACACUUGUUUUUCUGCAAGAGUUCAACAAAAGGAAUUCCUUCUAAAUUAUGCUUUACUAUGCUUCAAGAACAAGGGUAUGGAUGGUCCUAAUCUAGGCUAGGUGAGGAUAGUGUGGGUAACAAAGAACAUAGGCAACACAAGGCUCAACAGGGUUAAACUUAAACACAUAAUGAAUGGGAUAGGCUUUUUGGCUCUUGGCUCACUAAACAACUUCGUCUUGAAUAUGUGUUAUGCAAAUCAAUAACAUGCUUUGAAUGAAAUAGGCAUGAGUUCUAGCAUUUGGAACUAAAUGAUGAAACGCCUUCUAAGUAGCAACCAAGCAAAGAAUAAUGAGAUCAUGCAACGACUUUAGAAAACAAAAAACAUUGCACAGAUUAAUAACUCUCCAAAUAAACGUUUAGGCCCAAGUCUCUCAAGGAUGUAGCGUUAGUUUGAGUUCCUUCUUUCAAGCAUGUUACAAAAACUGAUUUUUCCUUUUAUAAUUGCAUGUGAAUUCAUAAAUUAUAACCACAACUAAGCAUACACCAAAGAGUAAAUCAAAUUUUCAUCCAUAUUUAUAACUCUCUUUAACAGUCAUGUAAUUAAAAACCAAAUCUUCAUCAUUGUGUUGGAAGGUACCCUAAGACACAAAUAAACACACAAAAACAACUCUUUUUGUGUUUUUCAAAACAAUUUUUCAAAUUUUUAUGAGAUUUUCGGAUUUUUAUGUCAAAACACACUAAAACACUCCAAAACAGCUUAAAAACACUUAAAACAGCAAGGAACAACACUAGAAGUAAUGGGUGAUAAACUCCUACAAAUUUCAUGCAAAGCAACUUGUUUACCCCCCCCCACACUUAAAUCAAGCAUUGUCCACAAUGUUUCAAGCAUAAACUCACACAAAAACAACCAAACAAACAAACAACGAAUAAACAUGACAAGUAUGGCAAAGUAAAAACCAGACAGAGUAGAGUUUAAGAACGCAAAUCUGGUUUUGGAGAUAGAUGAUCUUGUUGACUUUCCACAGCUUUGAUCUUAAACUGGUUUGGAAUUCUGAGCGAGCAAUAUGGGAGUUCCUUGGUUUCAAAUCAGACUCCUUCUGCUGGGUUGAUUUGAUUGUGCAAUUUGCAUUCUUCUCUGCUUAUUUCUUCUGCACGGCAAGCAGGCACGAGGUAGAGGUGAUAGUCUGUUUCUUUCUUCAAUCUUUCCAAGUGCCCACCAUUUGCUUUCUUUCUCCUUGUCCCUAGCUGAGGAUGAAUUGGCACAUUGUCUCCACAUGCUUCAAGGUAUCAUUUUCACUUCCCUUAUCUGUUCCCCAAGCAGAUGUGGUAGACGAAGAGAAAGCAUAAGAUGUUGAAGAUGAGUACUCGAGAGCAAGGCUAGGCAAGCAAUCAGGAAGGGGUUCCAGGCAGUCGGUUCUAGAUUAGAAGAUUAAUACCAAGUGCUGGUUGAUUGCUUACUUUCUCCUUGUCCCAAAACAACGACAAGGAGAAGGAUAGGGAGAAAGCAUGAUAUGAGAUACUCUUGCUUUCAACCUUUAUGAUAUGAAAUACUUUUGCUUUGGAUGAGUUAUUUGCAGAGGUACCCCAAGGAAUAAGGAACACUGAGUGACUCGAUAGGGUUUGUUGGAAAGGCAUUCUCGGAGAAGAAGAAGGGUUAUGUAUGUCUACCUUGCAAUGGCAUUUAUAGGAAUUAAUAACCGGUACUAUUCUUUCACUCUUGUCAGCAACCGUUGGAUGAUUUAAUAGUGAACUUCACGUCCUUUCUACUUUACAAGAGAUCUUCGAUAGAUUGCCUGUAAUUUCUACAAGGCUGAGUGUGCAUGUGACAGGCUCUGACACGUCUAGAAAAGUAAGUGCCUCUUCGAUAUCUGGAAUCGGCGUUUCGACAAACUGCCCGUGAUUUCUGCAAAGCUGAGUGUGCAUGUGACAGAUGCUAACACGUCUCGAAAAGCAGAUGCCUCUCCGAUUUCUAAGCUUGCCUCUUCGAGUUCUGAGCUCGCCUCUUCGAUCUCUGAAAUCCCAUCGAGUGCAGAGGUUGCAUGUGACAAGUGCGGACAAAUCUGGAAAAGAAGAUUGGCCCGUGGUUUCUGAGCAAGCCCAACUUUUGAGAAAGCUAGCGCUUCUUUGAUUUUUGAAUUGGCCUCUUCGAUUUCUGAGCUCACCUCUUCGAUCUCUGAAAUCCCGUCGAGUGCUUAUUUUUAUAGAGGUAUGCAGGACGUUCAAAGCACACUUGAAUUUCUGCCUGUAGAAACUCCCUUCUUGCACUUUUACGAUCUUAACUUGUCCGACCUCUUCUUUCUUUAACACCUUUGAAAAUGUCUGGCCUCUUCGACCGUCGUUUUGACUUGAACCUUGGUGAAGAGGCAGUCCCGCAUUCUCUAGACAACAUAUGGCGCCCAUCCUUCAUAUUCCCUACUGGUCCCCUUACCGUUGGGGAUUCGGUGAUAAAGAAUGAUAUGACAGCUGCGGUGGUGGCCAGGAACCUUGUCACUCCUAAAGAUAACAGACUACUUGCCAAACGAUCUGAUGAGUUGGCUGUUAAGGAUUAUUUGGCUCUCAGUGUGCAGUGUGCAGGUUUUGUGGCUAAUAUGGCCCAACGCCUAUUUGCUCGAACCCGUCAAGUUGAAUCAUUGGUGGCUGAAGUGAUGAGUAUCAAACAAGAGAUUAGAGGGCUCAAGCAUGAGAAUAAACAGUUUCACAGGCUCGCACAUAACUAUGCUACAAACAUGAAGAUGAAGAUUGACCAGAUGCAGGAAUCUGAUGGUCAGAUUUUACUUGAUCAUCAGAGGUUUAUGGGUUUGUUCCAACACAUUUGCCUUCGUCUUCUGGGGCUGUACCGCAUAAUGAAGCUCCAAAUGAUCAACCUCCGAUGCUUCCUCCUUCUGGGGCUCUGCCAACUGCUGAGCUCCGCCGACUACUGAGACUUCUCCUAAGCAGCCUUUGUGAAGGCUCCCUCUUGUAUUUUUCUACUUAAUGUUCCUUUUUUUUCAUGACAAUGAAUGUAAAAAUACCUUGCAUAUCUAUUAGUGUUUCAAAAAUAAACCCACACCAAAAACAAUUAAACAAGCAACAAAUAAAAAUGACAAUCAUGGCAAAAUAAAACUACAAAAAAGGGAAGGUUUUUAGGAAUGCAAAACCAAUCGUGGAGCAAUUCAAAAAUCUUCCUUAUUUGAAUACAUGGGUUGCCUCCCAAAAAGCGCUUGCUUUAACGUCUUCCAGCCAGACGAAACUUCCUUCUAAACUUGGAUAGGGCCCAUAGCAUGGAAUUGAUCUUUGAAUGGAAGGUGAUACUUGACGUGAUCCGGCAAUGGUUUAAAUUCUAGUGUAGGUGCUUGAAUCAUCAAAAUCAGCAAGUUAGUAUAUAAUAAAAUCGAAGUUGGAGAAGAUGGCUUACUUGCUUGCUCUAACACAAACUCAAUUACGAACACCACAUCUUUGAAGGUUGCAGGGAUAUGGGACUUGGCCAGAUUUGGUGUUUUGAGAGUUAUGACUUGUUCCGUGUCAUAAAAUCCAACUUCUUUGGGAAUUUUCGUCUCAAGUAUAUCUUCUUUGAUGAAUUCUAGACAUUCCCCAUCCACUUCUUGCUCUUGAUUCAUUGGAAAGGUUUUGAAUAUGCCUUUCUCACCCUCUUCUUCCUUAGAUUGCAUGAUCCUGCAAGGAAUAAGGACAUUUGGUGAAACGAGGUCAGGACAAAUUGAAUUUAGGCUUACCUUGGUUGUAGUGGACGACAUAGAUGGCAUAUGGGGCUGCGGUAAUGGUGGUUCUUCCCUUGCCGUGGCCUUGUUAUUCUCCUCUUUUUUGAGCAGCAACUGCCAUGUUUUGGCUUGGUUUGGAUGUCUUAGGUUCACCUCCAACCUCCAUAGCACUUCCCAAAGUGAUAGCAUCAUGGAUUUCAAAAUCUUCCUUCAAAUUUUCAAUAGUUGAGUUGGAGAGUUCACUUUGCUCUUGAAUUUAUGCCAUAAACUCCAUAAUCUGCCCAAUUUGCUUUUCCAAUAAACUCGUCUUCUUGGCUUGAUUUUGCAUCUCUUUGUUUCCAUUUUCUACUUCCUGGUUCAAAGAGGUGAGUAACUUAUUAAACAUAUCAUUAUCCAAAGACGUACCUGAAUUGAAUUGGGCAGAUUGUUGUGGUGGCUGCAUAGGUCUUGAAUAGAACUCCUCUUCUUGCUGGCAAUACCCAUCUUGUUGGAAUUGUUGAGGUUCUCCCCACAUGUAAUCUGAAUAAUCUCUCCAAUCCGAAUUGUAAGCGUUGGAAAACAUGUUGUCCCAUGAUUGGCUAUGGCCUUGAUAACCCCAAGCAUCUUCAUUCGCAGGGAAUUGAGAACAUUGAUGAGUUGGAUAUCCUUACCCAUAGGACACACCAUAUGUAGGGACACUUUGCAUUGUGGUCCUUUCAGCAUAUUGUGACAAUUGAGAAGUAAGUUUCACAAAUUGAGCUUGAAUGGUAGCAAAUCCAUGUCUUACUUCUUUAGUACCUGAAAUCAAGGAAACAAAACUAAAUCAAAUAUCAUAAGUAAAAAUAAAAGACAAAAAUAGAAACAAAGUCAGUAACUAAAACAAAAGACAUGAAAAAGAAACAACGGAGGAUUAGCAAAGUUGAUAAUCCCCGGCAACGGCGUCAAAAAUUUGAUGCGAACAUUAACUUAACACACAAAUUAAACCCUCUUGUUGUCAAUUGUAGUAAAGAAUGUAAGUAGGGAUCGUUCUAGACCGGGGAUUAGGAGGGAUUGCUAAAACACUUGAAACCGACUUAAAAAUGUAAAAUUAAGUUUAAAACACCAAACUAGACUCAAAAGAUGCAAUACAAACUAAAAGGACUCAAAACAAGCUAAAAACGCUCAAAUCUGCCUAAAAACACAAACUGCGCAGAUUUGGACUUUAACACACUUUUAGGACACCUAAAAACACAAAUCAAAACAGAUUUUGACUAAUAAAACACUUUAAAGUAAAGGGGGUUUUGGUUUUGACGAAUUUGAAAACAAAACAAGUAAAUUAAAGAACUAAUGAAAUCUGCACGAAUUUGAGUAAAUUGAAUGGAUGGAAGGCUAGCUAGGAGGUCCUUCUCCACACAUGACAUACUUGCACAUAAACCAAUUUUCAAUUGUUCUUUCGAUCAAUCAUUAAACUCAACACCCCAGGUUAAUUAAGCCCGCUUAAAUUAACCUUCAAGUUCUCCUUAAGUUAUUGAAUUGGAUGGGAAAGCGCAUACAAUUCAAGCAUUCUUCAAAAGUUCUUUACGUGAACAGCACAAUAAAGAUACAAUCAAAGAUCAUUAAGCAUUAUGAAAACUAUAAGUAUUGACGAGGCAUUCGUUACUAUGAUGAGCAUGAAACUCCUGCCAAGAAUUUAUUUAACGCGAUCGUUUAUAAGCAACCUCCACUACUUGUGAAUAUAAGUUUGUAACUAUUAGGUGAAACUCCCUUAUACUCUAGCAUCAUAUUCAUGCAUGCAAACUAAGUGUGCACUCUUAAUAAACAUACACGAAUAAGUUAUCAAUCAAGCAGUUAAACAAAUUGAAUUCACAACUUAUGAAAUCAUAACUGAAGGUAAUCAAAUCAUAUUGCAAGCAUGAACAUGGUUUCGAAUUCCCCACUAGCUAAGGGGGGUUUAGUUCCUCAUACUUACAAAGCAAAGAUAAACAAAUUUAGACAUUGAAAACAAAAGAAAGAAAACACUUAAAAACGCUCCAACAAUCCAACUUGAAUGGCAAGCACGUCCAAGGGUCCUCCUUCUUCUCUUUGUUGUGGCACAAGGUGUGGUUUGAUGGAUGAGUGGUAAAUUAGGGUGGUGGAUGGAUAUAGGUGAGUUAUGGUGAAGGGUGGAUGGGUGGAUUGUGUUCUCUCUGGUUUUUUCCCCCCUUGUUAUGGUGAAGGGUGGAUGUAUUUAUAGGCUAGGGAGAGGACCACCAUCUAAUUAAGAUGGUAGUGAUGAGUAUUGUGGUAAUGAGUGGAUGUAAUAGGUGUGGUGGAUGGAUGUUUGGUAAUGAGUGGAUGUAAUGAGUGUGGUGGAUGAAUGUUUGGUAAUGAGUGGAUGUAAUGGGUGUAGUGGGUGGGUGUUUGGUAAUGAGUAGUGUUUGGUAAUGAGUGGAUGUAAUGGGUGUGGUGGAUGAGUGUUGUGGUAAUGAGUGAAUGUAAUGGGUGUAGUGGGUGGAUGUUUGGUAAUGAGUGAAUGUAAUAGGUGUAGUGGAUGAAUGUUUCUAGUUGUAGGUCAACACACUUGCACACACACAUGUUGAUUUAUAGCUUUCUAAUAUUCAAAAAUGUCCAUCCUCAUGUCUCCAUGCUUGCACUAUCCAAUCUUGGCUAAAAAAAAUGCUCUAAAAUGCUCCAAAAUGCACUUUCUUGCCAACUUUGUUAUUAUGACCUACAAACACAUGAAAAUAGCUUAAAAUACAUAAUUAACUAAGAAAUAACAACACAAAUGCACAAGAACAAGCUAACUAAGUCGCAUGAAUAUGCUUCUAUCAAGGGUGAGGAGCCUUAGGAAUUGGCCUCAGAAAUGGCCUCUCCUAAUUGUGAGGGUAAGGGGUCCUUUUAUAGAAUAAGGACUCCUCACUUAUUACAUAUUUACCCCUUCCUUUAUCACAUAAUUACAUUUAAGUCCACCGAGUAUUUAUACGAGGUCUAAAUACGAGGCCCUAAUUAUGGUAUAAACAGUAGUCCCCCAACUCUUCAGUCAAGAGAGUCUUUUGGCUUGAGACUUGAAAUUCAGUCCCUGUGUGGGCCGAAGUAACUAGAUGCUGUCUUGAACCGAUGCUCGAUAUGAGGCAGUGCUCAAUCUGAAAUGACGCUCAACUAGAAGUAGCACACGCUGGGAGGCUGCUCGGCUCGUGGCUUAUGUUGCCUUGGUUGGCUCGGCUUGCGGUGUUUGAAGGUGAGGGAGUCCCUUUUAUAGAAUAAGGGCUUACUCCUCAAUACAUGAAUGAUGGGCUAGAGUUGAUGCUCUCUAAUGAUGGUGAGGGAGUCCCUUUUAUAAAAUAAGUGCUCGCUCCUCACUACAUAAGUGAUGGGUUAUGAGUGAUGCUCUCUAAUGAUGGUGAGGGAGUCCAUUUUAUAGAAUAAGAGCUUGCUCUUCAGUACAUGAAUAAUGGGUGCUUUCUAAUGAAAGUAAGGGAGUCCCUUUUAUAGAAUAAGGGCUUGCUCCUUAAUACAUAAAUAAUGGGCUAAGUCCCCCAAGUAUUUUUCAUGAGGCCCAAUUGGGGCCCAAUAUAUGGUACAUAAUGUAGUCCCCCAAGCCUUAGGAAUUGGCCUCAGAAAUGGCCUCUCCUAAUUGUGAGGGUAAGGGGUCCUUUUAUAGAAUAAGGACUCCUCACUUAUUACAUAUUUGCCCCUUCCUUUAUCACAUAAUUACAUUUAAGUGACCCGAGUAUUUAUACGAGGUCUAAAUACGAGACCCUAAAUAUGGUAUAAACAAAAGUCUAAUGUAAAAAAAAUCUGAAUAAGAUGACUUCACGAUGUUAUAAAUAUUAAACGGUCUAGUGGUAUUCCUCUUUACUUGUAAGUGAGAGGUUUUAGGUUCGAUUUUAAUCAAAGACGAAUUUGAACCACAUUAUUGCUAGCCCAUUAUGAGGCUAAGCCCACUCUCUCUCCGUUAAUGUAGAUAAUAUCGUUUGUUCCAAAAAAAAAACAAAAAAACAAGACAUACAUUUUUUUUUUCCUGAAAAAAAAUGUCUUAUCUAUUUAAAAUUUGAUAAUUUACCUUUAAAGUGUAUCACAUAAAAGUUUUUGAAAUGUAAAUUGUGGAUUUAGCGCAAAGGUGUAAGAGAAUGUUUUGCUAAUUUGUGCUCUGCAAUGGAUUGAGCUGCACCUUUCCUUGCACAGAAAUAUACAAAACUUUCAUUCUUCGUUCUUUGAGUUUUUCUUCAGUCUUAUUUCCCAAUCCAUAACUUAAAAAAACAACAUCAAAUACUAAAAACCAACACAAGUCACGUAAUUUAAAUUGAAAAAAACUAAAUAGAUUACAAUCUAGUAGAGAAGGGAAGAAUUUGGAGGUUUUAAUGAACUUAAGGACAUUUGUUUGAAAAAAUAUCAUUAGGGAACUUAAUUUUUUAAAUGGUAGGAUUAUGAGAGAUAUGUUGAAAAGUGUGUGAUUAAGGAAAUGAACUCAAAUAAAAACUAAAAACUAUUUUUAACUUGUAUUUAUUUUGAAGAUUUUGUUUUUUGUUCAUUUUUCUUUGUUUCCUUCAUUCCCUUCCACCAGUAUUCUUCAUCCCUCAUUUUCGCCUCCACUCUUCUUCAUCCCAUAUUUCCUCCAAAUAAUUUCUCCAUAACUCAAACACAUAAAAAUGAAAACUAAAAAUAGAAAACAUUUUGAUAAUUAUCUCACAAAUAUGAUCUCACAUUUCCACCAUAUAAUUUCCCUUUAUAUUUAUGGAAUAGUUAUUAGCACUUAAAAGUCAUUAUGCACUCUUUAAAUAUAUAGAUUUGACAAACCGGCAUUAUAUCUAUCAAAGACAAGGAGCAAGAAAUAAUUGCUUGGUCACAAGCCAGUAAUUUCUUUCUAAUUAAUAUGUGUAGUAGAUUACCAAGAGAAGUUUACCACAAACAUUCAUCGUUUCAGCCAAAUAAUGUAAAUUAGGGUUUUCUUGGUUGAGGCAAUAGUAGGACCUCAAGCUAGGCAAGUAAUUAUGCAACUUUGAUCGUAGCAUGCAUGUCUUACUAGCAAGUUACCAAAAUUUAUUUUAAAUAAAAAAGAGUGAAUUCUUGAUCAAUUGAAAUUUACCGUCCACCAUGCCAGUGGAAGGUAUACACAAAGGAUCGAUCAUCACUUAUUUAUUCAUUUUCUUUAUUCUUAAUAACCUACUUAUCUUCUUAGAUAUAUCCAUCAGCAAAAAUUGCUAGAGUGGUUGUUGUUCUUCCAUAGCUAGUAAGGCUUCUCCCCAACAUAGUUGCCUGGGGGAUCAUAGUUGCAUCCAAUGAAGGUACCCCCACUGCUGCACCUCNNNNNNN
rnacentral:lncRNA from 1 species